rnacentral:lncRNA from 1 species
UAGUGUUAAUUUCCUCGUAUUUUCAUGAGUAUAACAUAGAGUAUAAACCAGAUAUUGUUGGCCUUCUUGAACCGAGAGUGAGUGGAGACAACACAGACUCUAUUACUACUAAGUUGGGUUUCUAGUGUUCCGACCGGGUGGAAGCGAUUGGAUAUUCUGGGGGUAUUUAGAUAGGUUGGAAGGACUCGAUUCAAGUGGAUGUGGCUUGAAAUCACCCUCAAUUUAUUUUAGUACGGGUAUCAUGUGGUAUCCCUUCAAAGUUUAUUUUUUAUUUCAUUUGUUUAUGGCAGUCUUGAUAAACAGAAACGCAAAUUUCUUUAGGAGGCUUUGAAAUCUUUAAUUCCAU